ACGAAUAUGUAAUUGAAAUGUAAUUACUUUAUUUCAUUUGGAAUACUUUUAAAUGGUUUAAGAAAUCAAAAUGUAUUUUCGAGUUUUACUUUAAAACGAGUUCGAAUUGCAAAACCACGUUCUAUUGAAAUUAGAAAACAAGUCCUAACCCAUGGUGGAUUCAUCAACCUAAAUCCUACUCCUAGCCCAAUUGGGCAAAGCCCAAACAAAAAAAAUAAAACCCUUCUCUUCUCUAUUCUUCACGUGAAAACCAAAAAAAAAAAAAAAGAGAGAAAGCCCUCACGCAACUCAGCUCUCCUUCCCUCCCGCUGCUCGCCGCCCAGCCGACCACCAUCGACGCAACCAGUGACUCAAGGCCGACCACCGCACGCGACCGUGCUCAGCCCUGCCGCGAGCCACCGCUGUCCGCCGGCCAGCCCCCCCUUAAACUCUUGAAUUGGCGGAGAAUUCUCUCUAGGCGACUUUUGAAAGUGUUAAGGUGGCCUAUCAGUUUGUUUACACAAGUCUCUAAGGAUCGAUAAGCGUUGCCCAUCUACAGGUUUGAAGAUGAUGCAUCAUUGGGAUCGGGAUUAGAGAGCUUGUAGUUCUAUUCGUUUAAUUAAGUGAUUUAAUUUGUUAACUUGGAUUUGAAAUUUGUCGUACUAUUCGUAUUUCCUUAAUUCAGUUAAUUGGUUUGGACCUAAUAUGUAAUAGAUUAUUUAUGAACCUAAAGGUUAGUUUUAUGUUUUCCGCUGCAAAAUUCUGAAUAAGCCGUAACGUUUUCACACGGGCGAUAAUACUUUGAUAAUUCCCUACAGUUAUAUUUAAAAAGAGGUUAUUUUAGAAAAUGGGAAUUGUUGGGGUGUUACAAAGUGGUAUUUUUGAGCUAAAGGUUUUACUGACAUUUCGUGUCUACCUUUUAUAUCUUAGGCGCCUAACCAACUAAUUAGUUAUGUAAAAGUAAUUUCACACUAGUGAAUAAAUUUAAAGUUAUUAGCUAGAAAUGUUUGAAUUUAUUUUAAUAUUGACUCUUGAAUCGUGCUUUGAAAUACGUUUUUAUGCGAAUAAAUGUAUUUCGAUUCUUUUGAAAUUUAAAUGAAUAUUUCAAAAAAAAAAAUAAAAAAUAAAAAAAAUAAAAAAAAAAAAAAAAAAAAUUAUUUAAUUAUUUAUCGUUUAAUAAUUAUUCUUUUAAUCAAUCUAAUUCUUAUAAAUCAUUCUUGUUUAUCCUUUUAUGCUUCAAUGUUUCAUAUACUAUGAUUAUUUUGAGAGUUGGGUAGUAUAGGAAAGGGCAUAUAGAAUAGAAGCAUUGUGCAUGCAUUAUGUCAACAUGAUUGUAAUUUCUCUACCUGCUAACUGUCGUGUCUUCCCUAUGCAUUGCGAUUGAUAUAUAUUCUUACUUAUUGUGUAUUGUGGGAUCAUACGGUAAGUGAGAGUACUAAUUACUAACAUAGAAACUAUGUUUAAUUGUUAUAGAUCACUAAUCAUGUCUGGCAUACAAGGAAAUAGAAUAGGGAGCAAUUCUAACCCUAUUGU